rnacentral:lncRNA from 1 species
AAGCGCUGCCUUGUGAUUGUGUGGUUACACCGUUUGUGCUCGUGUCUUGUCUUGUCUUCUUAUGUAUAUAAAUUAAUUAAUAUUAUUAUCUAUGUAAUUUUUUUGAUUUUACCAUCAACUUAAGAUAAUUUAUCAUAUCCUAUUGAAUUUAUCCAUCGCUCUGUGAUCCUUCAAUUAGUGUUUGCUCUUACUCACAAAAAAUCAUCAAUUCAUUUAAAAAAUCGGAUACGCCUCACUUAAGAAUCAGCCAAUGGAUCAUAAAACACCUAUUCCAUAGGCCAUUCCGAUUUUGAUAAAACAACAGUGGACUCAAAACUCUGAACUCAUUUAAUAAUAAAAAAAAGAUAUUUUAUAUCCUUCUAUUCUUGUAAAUACAUCAUAAAUAUAUAUAAAAACCAUGUUUUUAAAC